ensembl:lncRNA
CAUCCCCCUCCCGGACAUCCGGUCUUUACUGAGGAUCCCUUUGAAACUACUUCUGCCCAGACUGUAAUCACACAGCAGCCUCACCACCUCCUGGUCAAGAAGGCAACACUGAUUCUACAAGGUUUGAAGGCCAGGUCAGAUGCAGCCAGCUCAAGGGAACUGGACCCCACAUGCUGCAACUAAAAGUUUGUUUGCUACAACUAAAGAUACAACGAAGAUGGAAGAUCCUGCAUGCUGCGACUAAGAUCUGACGCAGCCAAAAUAAAUAAAAGAAUGUAAGCUUCAUGUCUACCUUAAAAAAUAAUAAAUUAACAAAUCCAAAUGUUGGCUCUCUGAAAAAGAUUAAUAAAGGUGACAACCCUAGUAAGACUGAUUAAGAAGAAAAAAGAGAAAGAAAACAUAAAUUAUCAGUAUCAGCAAUGAAAGAGAAUCAUCACAGAUUCUACAGAUGUUAAAAAGAUAAUAAAUGAAUAUUAUAAACAAUGACACUAAAUCUGACAACUUAGAUGAAAUGAGACAACUUCUUGAAAAAUCCAAAUGAUCAAAACUGACAUGAAAAUAACUACAAAAAUUUAAUGGCCCCUUUUUACAAAUAUUGUCUAUUAC